GGCUAGCCAGUUUUCCCAACUGGCUGCGACAUCUGUCACCCAUUGAUCUCCAGGGUUGAUGUGGCCAAUCUGGCUCGCUAGGCGGGUGUCCCCUUCCUCCCUCACUGCUCCACGUGCAUCCCUCCUGAAGCUGCAUGCUCAGUUGAAGAGGAUGAACAUCCCCAAUAGAGGAGGGCGGGUCUUUGGUCGGGUGUACGUGAGUAGCUGCGCUCCCCUUCUAGAAUCUCCAAACAAGCUCUCAAACUUCCUAAUUUAAGAAUGAAAGGGAGAUACGACUAAGAUACAUAGAAGUUUAAAAGCAUAAUAAAGGAAUCCUAUGAGCAACUCUAU
ensembl:misc_RNA 7SK 7SK RNA